rnacentral:misc_RNA from 1 species
CCGAGUUUACAACUCCCAAACCCCUGUGAACAUACCACUUGUUGCCUCGGCGGAUCAGCCCGCUCCCGGUAAAACGGGACGGCCCGCCAGAGGACCCCUAAACUCUGUUUCUAUAUGUAACGUCUGAGUAAAACCAUAAAUAAAUCA